UACGUAGGUGGCAAGCGUUGUCCGGAUUUACUGGGCGUAAAGGGCGCGUAGGCGGCCACCGCAAGUCGACUGUGAAAUCUCCGGGCUUAACCCGGAAAGGUCAGCCGAUACUGCGGGGCUAGAGUGCAGAAGGGGCAACUGGAAUUCUCGGUGUAGCGGUGAAAUGCGUAGAUAUCGAGAGGAACACCUGCGGCGAAGGCGGGUUGCUGGGCUGACACUGACGCUGAGGCGCGAAGCUAGGGGAGCGAACGGG
rnacentral:rRNA from 1 species